AUUGAACGCUGGCGGCAGGCCUAACACAUGCAAGUCGAGCGAGUGGCGGACGGGUGAGUAAUGCCUGGGAAACUGCCUGAUGGAGGGGGACAACUACUGGAAACGGUAACCAAUACCGCAAACCAUCAGAUGUGCCCAGAUGGGAUUAGCUAGUAGGUGGGGUAACGGCUCACCUAGGCGACGAUCCCUAGCUGGUCUGAGAGGAUGACCAGCAAAACUGGAACUGGGACACGGUCCAGACGCCUACGGGAGUCAGCAGUGGGGAAUAUUGCACAAUGGGCGCAAGCCUGAUGCAGCCAUGCCGCGUGUGUGAAGAGGGCCUUCGGGUUGUAAAGCACUUUCAGCGGGGAGGCGUUACCCGCAGAAGAAGCACCGGCUAACUCCGUGCCAGCAGCCGCGGUAAUAC
rnacentral:rRNA from 1 species